UGCCUAUAUAAAUCUCGAACGAAUUAGCAAGUUUGGGAUACUUAUUCACUCUAUCGCAGUUCUUUGUAUAGCAUCAGAUAAAAAGUGAUCACGAUAAUAUGGAGAAACUUACAAUUCUCGUGAUAGGUUUAUUGCUUGUGUGCGCCGCAGCAUUUCCACGUAAAAAGGCGAUGGUGGAAUCUGACAAUAAGUGCCAUAUUUAUGGAAGAACAUUCACAGGCCAAAAGCCUUGCGAGAUGAUGUGUAAGAAAGAAUGUGAAUCCCAAACAUGCGGCGGAUAUGACAAAUGUAUGCAGUUAAAGAACGAGCCUGAAAUGUAUGGGUGCUUUUGCAAGAGUUAAUAAUCAAUAUUGUGCAUAUGCGCAUCCGGUCUAAUUCUCAACUAUUGUGACCACUGACCAGUUGGAUCUAGGCUUUUUGUCCCAUUAUAUCGCAAUAAAUCUAUUCUUAACUUGAUAAUUUUUUUUUAUAUAUAUACAUGUAAAAACCAUACAUUACGAGAUCCGUUUUAUAUAAAAUCGGGCAUUGCGAGAUCCUGAGAUCCUUUUGCCGGAUCUCGCAAGUUCUCUCAUAUGCCAUGGUACUCGUGAGAUCCGGGGGACCCUGUACACACAUUUUCAGCCGGAUCUCGUUUUACCUACUAUUUAUAUACUUAUAUACAAUUUUUGAAAAUAGAUAAACGACGCAUCUUGCGAGAUCCACCCCCAAAUCAGGUUUAGGCCAUUGGUGGAUCUCGGUUUAUGCGGAUCGCGAAAUUUAUGGCGGCAAUGCAUAGAAAGGCACUGUUUACACACUGGAACGUGCGUUCGAACGAAGUUGUAGGGUUAUUAUUUGAGUUUUUAGCAUUUUUCGAAAUUUUUUGGGUCGGAUCUCGCAAUGCCUGUGUAUAUGUCGGAUCUCGCAAUGUACUAUAAGACAGUAUAUAUAGAUAUGUCAUGUUCCCGGUUAUGAAUUUUAUAUCCAUGUGGAGUAAGGUAAGAUAAUAUAUAAAAUAUACUAUACAUUUAAGAUAUUGAGUCUUUAUGUGAGUAAGUAAUUUGAAACUUGCCAGUGUCUUCAUUUCAAAGGCGAAUUCUACAACAAAAUGUACAAACAAUGGCUAAGAAUGUGCAUGAGUCGUCCAUCCAACUAUGAUAUAAAUUGAAUUCUAAGCAAACACUUUAGCUUCACACCCAAAAUUUGUAGUUGAGCAAUAUAGAUCAAUGCUAUUGGGAUAAAAAUGAUGAAAUUUAAUUUUAAUAUCUUUUUUAUUGUCUAGGUACCUAUUACACAGUCAAUUACCUACAUACGUACGUAUCUAUGCUGUUGUUUUUUUGUAUUCUUCUGGGUAGUUAAAUUUCAUAGCAAGGUAUGUAAGUGUAUUAUAAACUUCAAGCGAACUAGCAAUUUUGAGAUACUUAAACAUUCACUCUAUCACAGUUCUGUUUCUAGUAUUAGAUAAAAAGUUCAACACAAUGGAGAAGCUUACAAUUUUCGUGAUUGGUUUAUUGAUUGUCUGCGUUACAGUAGUUCCAGAAAUUGAAUCUCGACGAAUAGACUCUAGAAUGGAAUCUAGAAUGACGUAUUGUUGGGUGGAUAGAGUAUGGUUCAACGAUGAAAAGACUUGCAUGAUGAAGUGUAAAAAAGGGUGUGAAGGAUGCGGCGGAUUUAGAAGCUGUAAGCCUAUAGCUGACGCGCCUAUGGGAACGCAUGGUUGUACUUGCCAGAAUAUGUAAUGUACCUGUGAUCACAAGCCCACAAGGUGAAAAGUGCAAGUAUUGUGACCAGCUGAUGUGGGCUGGCUUUUUGUGCUAUUAUAAUUCAUAUUAAUAUUUUACAUUUAAAUUAAUCUUCCAAUUCUUUAGGAUUAAAAUAUAUUCUUGAUUUACUUAAUUAAUCUUGAUCCUUAUUCAAUUAUUAAAGAUAUAUUAUCACAAUAUAUCCAUUCUUAACACAACCCAUUUAUUUAUGUCAUAGGGAUUCAAAUUCAUGAAUUUUUAUAUCAUUGCAGAGAAGGUAAGGUAGAUCGUAUCUGGAGCAUGUACUACUAGUGGAAGAUUAUACACCACUAUGGGCAAUUGCAUGCAGAUUUGUAAAAAAGCGUGUAACACCAUGGAAUGCGGCGGAUUUAAAUCCUGUAUGCAGAUGAAGGAGCUGCCUAUGAAUCAGUAUGGUUGUUUUUGCAUGAGUUAGGGAGCUAUGUGCAGAAGGUCAAUAAAAGAAUUGUUUAUAUCGCAAUAAAUUCAUUCUUAACUCGA